rnacentral:tRNA from 1 species
GCUCCCUUGGCUCAGUUGGUUAGAGCACCGUGUUCACAUCGCGGGGGUCGUUGGUUCGAGUCCAACAGGGAGCACCA